UACGGAGGGUGCAAGCGUUAUCCGGAUUCACUGGGUUUAAAGGGUGCGCAGGCGGGAAAUUAAGUCAGUGGUGAAAGCCCCGAGCUCAACUUGGGAACUGCCAUUGAUACUGAUUUUCUUGAAUAUAGUUGAAGUAGGCGGAAUACAACAUGUAGCGGUGAAAUGCAUAGAUAUGUUGUAGAACACCAAUUGCGAAGGCAGCUUACUAAGCUAUCAUUGACGCUGAGGCACGAAAGCGUGGGGAGCGAACAGG
rnacentral:rRNA from 1 species